rnacentral:rRNA from 1 species
GUGGGGAAUCUUGCGCAAUGGGCGAAAGCCUGACGCAGCCAUGCCGCGUGAAUGAUGAAGGUCUUAGGAUUGUAAAAUUCUUUCACCGGGGACGAUAAUGACGGUACCCGGAGAAGAAGCCCCGGCUAACUUCGUGCCAGCAGCCGCGGUAAUACGAAGGGGGCUAGCGUUGCCCGGAAUUACUGGGCGUAAAGGGCGCGUAGGCGGACAGUUUAGUCAGAGGUGAAAGCCCAGGGCUCAACCUUGGAAUUGCCUUUGAUACUGGCUGUCUUGAGUACGGGAGAGGUGAGUGGAACUCCGAGUGUAGAGGUGAAAUUCGUAGAUAUUCGGAAGAACACCAGUGGCGAAGGCGACUCACUGGCCCGUUACUGACGCUGAGGCGCGAAAGCGUGGGGAGCAAACAGGAUUAGAAACCCGAGUAGUCC